rnacentral:rRNA from 1 species
AAAAACAUCGCCUCCUGAAAGAUUAUAGGAGGUCCAGCCUGCCCAGUGAUAAAAUUAAACGGCCGCGGUACCCUAACCGUGCGAAGGUAGCGCAAUCACUUGUUCUUUAAAUGAGGACUAGUAUGAACGGCAUCACGAGGAUUAUACUGUCUCCCUUCUUUAAUCAGUGAAACUGAUCCCCCCGUGAAGAAGCGGGAAUAAACAUAUAAGACGAGAAGACCCUAUGGAGCUUUAAACUUAACACCACUUAUCUAAAACACUUCAUAACAAACAGAUAAGCUUGUGCGCGUUUUAGGUUGGGGUGACCGCGGAGUAAAAUUUAACCUCCACGUUGAAAGGCCUUUAUCCUUAUCCAAGAGCCACAUCUCCAAGAAUCAACAAAUUGACAUUUAUUGACCCAAAUUUUUUUGAUCAACGAACCAAGUUACCCUAGGGAUAACAGCGCAAUCCAUUUCAAGAGCUCAUAUCGACAAAUGGGUUUACGACCUCGAUGUUGGAUCAGGGUAUCCCAGUGGUGCAGCCGCUACUAAAGGUUCGUUUGUUCAACGAUUAAAACCCUACGUGAUCUGAG